GCGUGAUUGGCGGAACUGGCAGACGCACUAGACUUAGGAUCUAGCGGGGCAACCCAUGGGGGUUCGACUCCCUCAUCACGCACAA
rnacentral:tRNA from 2 species